rnacentral:rRNA from 1 species
GACAGAGGGUGCAAACGUUGUUCGGAUUUACUGGGCGUAAAGCGCGUGUAGGCGGCUUGGCAAGUCGGAUGUGAAAGCCCACGGCUCAACCGUGGAAGCGCAUCCGAAACUGCUUCGCUCGAGUCUCGGAGAGGAAGGUGGAAUGCUUGGUGUAGAGGUGAAAUUCGUAGAUAUCAAGCAGAACACCUGCGGCGAAGGCGGCCUUCUGGGACGAUGACUGACGCUGAGACGCGAAAAGCGUGGGGGAGCAAAACAGGG